CAUAAUCAUUAGCUUUUUAAUUGGGAGCUCGUAUGAAUGGUUAAACAAAAGAAAUACUGUCUUUUUCUUAAUAGUUGAAAUUAACUUUUAAGUGAAAAGGCUUAAAUUUGUUAAGGGGACGAUAAGACCCUAUAAAGCUUUAUAAAUAAUUUAUAUACUUUAAAAAUUUAAAAAUAAAAUAAAAUUUUAAAUUUUUUAUUAUGUUGGGGCAACAUAGACAAAAUUAAAAAUAACUGUCAAUAAAAAAAACAUAAAUAAUUGAAAAGUUAUGAUCCUUUAUAAUGAUUAAAAAACAAAGUUACUUUAGGGAUAACAGCGUGAUUCUUUUUAAGAGUUCUAAUCGAAAAAAGAGUUUACGACCUCGAUGUUGAAUCAUAAAAUCUUUAUAAUGCAGCAGUUAUAAAAA
rnacentral:rRNA from 1 species